UGCGUGCCUCGUUGGUAUUGCUGUUUGCUGCUGUCUUCCUUGCAUAAUUGCAAUUUUAUAUGCACUAGCAGACCGGGAAGGUGCCACAGAAGAAGAGAUUGAUCGAUUGCCAAAGUACAAAUUCCGCAGGGUGGGUGAAUUUGAGAAAAUUAAUGGUGAGGUUCAAGAAUCUUACAGCGGAAUAAUGACAGAAUCUGGUGCUGAAAUGCCCAUGGAACGUGUUCUCUCCCAUGAGGAUGCCGUAAGUAUCACAAUGCAGUUAUAUUUAGUUUAGUAUCGCAAUGAAGUUAUAUGUAGUUUCGUGAGAUUAAAGUUAUUUGAACCACAUAAACUCCAUAAACUGUUUCACAAGUGUUAAAAAAUUAGGACUUAAACUAAGCAGUACGUGUGUCUCAGCUCGAACACAAUUGUUUUAAAGGAAGAUCUAAGGUCUGUUUGGGAGAUAAGGAAGAAUAGAAUGGGAAAUUAGGAGUUGAAUUAUUCGGCUUGUUGGAAAACCAUUCCUUAAUGGAACAGUGUGAACCAUAAUGUCCAUGUGUAUGAGGGAAGAUUUAGGUUCAUUUGGGAGAACCGAAAGAAUGGAAUGGAAAUAUUAAGGAGGUGAAAUUUCUUUAUUUGUUUGGAGAAAAUUCAUUGAUGAAGUGGAAA